GAUCAUUCUUAGGAGACAAAGAUAUUGAGCCAACAUGAUCCUCGCAUGUUAAGAUGGAUAGAAUGAAGAGCUGGGUUCACAAGUAUCCAAGAUGGUUGCUUCCUGUGACUUGACCAGGUUUGAGGAUGUGUUAAUGUGCCCCGUUGCUGCUGGAGCUGUUUGCUUCCUGUGCUGUCUGCAGAACCAGCAUUUCCAAGAUUUCACUCUGGACUAGGGACCAGCGGCUCUCCAGGAAACCUUCUGACUUCUGGCAUUAGAGGCAUCGGCCCUGUGCACUGAGCAGCAACUGGGUAUCGGGAUGCCCCCACAGUGAGAGACAGCCACUCUAGAACGAGUCCAGCUGCCGAGAGACAUAGCUUUAAGGUUGGGGCAACUACCGGGGUCUCAGCACUCAGCUGUGAUUCUGCUGGUGUUAGUAUUUUAGAGCUGAUUUGGGCAUCUUUCUGGUUCAUUUGCUGACCUGUAUCAAGCAGUUAACACUGUCCUGGACUUCACUGUCUCUGUGAGCGGAUGAUUGGAUAAGCGUUCUUGGAAGUGCCUUCUAUAACUGUCCUGAUCCACGUCCCCUUUUACCUAUCCACAAAAAUUCUGUACAGUCAAACUGAAAGGCCACACAAAAAUUACUUGUUAAAGAUGGAAUUGGGGGCUGGAGAGAUUGCUCAGUGGUUAGGGGCACUGACUUCUCUUCCAGAGGACUGGGGUUCAAUUCUCAGCACCCACAUGGCAGCUCACACCCAUUUGUAAUUUGAGUUUCAGGGAACUCGGCACCCAUGAACAUACAGGCAAAACUACCAAUGCACACAAGAUAAAUGUAAAUCAAUUAUUGUAGGACCUGUGAAAUGAUGAAAGGCUGGUUUGGAUCUAUGGGUGUUCGUGUUUUUGACAUUUGUAGGCAUGUUCAUCCCGGUUCAACCCCAUGAAUGGUUUAAAGUAACUCCUAAAAAGGCAGUGAGUAGAGCAUGGGACUGGUGGAUAC